AGAACGAACGCUGGCGGCAGGCUUAACACAUGCAAGUCGAGCGCCCAGCAAUGGGAGCGGCGGACGGGUGAGUAACACGUGGGAACAUGCCUUUCGGUACGGAACAACUUCGGGAAACUGAAGCUAAUGCCGUAUGCGCCCUUACGGGGAAAGAUUUAUCGCCGAAAGAUUGGCCCGCGUCUGAUUAGCUAGUUGGUGAGGUAACGGCUCACCAAGGCUUCGAUCAGUAGCUGGUUUGAGAGAACGACCAGCCACACUGGGACUGAGACACGGCCCAGACUCCUACGGGAGGCAGCAGUGGGGAAUCUUGGACAAUGGGGGAAACCCUGAUCCAGCCAUGCCGCGUGAGUGAUGAAGGCCUUCGGGUUGUAAAACUCUUUUACCAGGGUAAGAUAAUGACUGUACCUGGAGAAUAAGCCCCGGCUAACUUCGUGCCAGCAGCCGC
rnacentral:rRNA from 1 species